rnacentral:rRNA from 1 species
UACCAGCACCCCGAGUGGUCGGGACGAUUAUUGGGCCUAAAGCAUCCGUAGCCGGUACUGCAAGUCUUCCGUUAAAUCCACCUGCUCAACAGUUGGGCUGCGGGGGAUACUACAGCGCUAGGAGGCGGGAGAGGCAAGCGGUACUUAAUGGGUAGGGGUAAAAUCCACUGAUCCAUUGAAGACCACCAGUGGCGAAGGCGGCUUGCCAGAAUGCGCUCGACGGUGAGGGAUGAAAGCUGGGGGAGCAAACCGG